UCAAAAACUUCAUUCCGAGUAAGUUAUCUACUUCUCUAACAUCUUUUAUCGUAUUGUCCUAAAUCUCCGAGUCUGAAAUCUUUUUUCCUCGCUUCGUUCAUCAGCAUCUGAGUCUUCAUUUGCUAACAAAAUUUCUUGUAUAUGCAAGUGUGUUAGUCUAAACUAUUGCUGUAUUUCCGGGUUUCUGACUUUAUGGGUGUUCUCAAUCUGUAACUUUGUAUGAACCGUGGCAUUUUGUGCUAAAAUAUAUCAUAUCGUAUGCAUAAAGGAACUUUACUGUGAACCUUAAAUUCACCUUAAGUUAUGAGUGCACAAGUUGGUUGGCACUGUAUCGAGUUUCAUUAAUGACUAAACACAUUUAAUCUUGAUGCUUUGAUUUCAAGCAAAAAAUUAUUGCUUAUUAGUGUUUUUUUUUUACCAUUCAAUAUGUCUCUGCUAUAUUAUCUCUUAGCAGGAGACUGCUUAAAUUUAGUAAAAAUGGGUAAUUAGGUUGAAGUAAAAAAUGCAUUUGAUUUUAUGGGUUCCAAUUUUGUGGAAACCUUGGGAAUUGUCUCUCCUUUUUACCUAAUAUCAGUUAUUUAAGACCAAUAAUUUUGUUUAAUUACGAACUACCAGUGCUCUGUAAAACGAAGGAGAACAUAGAUUUAUCUGAAAUCCAUACUCCUGGUUUAUUUGAAUAACAGGUUAACUUGGAAGAUUACCAGAUUAACUCAACUUUGCAUGCAAUAUCUAAUUGCAAAUGAAGUGACUUAUUACAAAGAUGUCUUCUGGGGAUUCCUAAGGCCUCGUACCAUAAUUUUCUUUUUGCUGCUAACUUCUUUUGCUUGAUGGUUUGUUGACAACUCUUUGGUAACUAGAGCUUUAAUUGAGAACCCAAAUUUGAUAAGAUGACCAUUAUUAUUGUAGGCAUUUUCUAGACUUCUUGAUCUUAUAUGUGGAAACGGUUAUAUAAUAUGCAUCGAUCAAAUAUAUGAUGUUAGGAUUGACAAGUAAGACACACAUACAAGUGCAUAUAUAUACAUGUAGCCUAUCAUCAGUAUCUCAUCUUAAAUAUGUAUAUCAUUGUGUAUGUAAGAAUAUCUCUACCGUCUCACUAGGAAGGUCCUCGAAAGUGUAACAAUGUUUAACACCUGUUUUCUUUCUACUUCUUCAAUACAUCCAUUUCACUGUUUUGCCCUGGCUUUGAAUGGAGGGUAAACAAACCUUAUUUACCCAUAGCUGCAGGAUCUUUCAGAACAAUCUGCAUGGUUCAUGGUGUUAUUGCUUGCUGCUAUUGACCUUAUAAUUGUUGGGAUAAACUUUGGUCCUUCUAUAACUGGUAUUUAUUGCCUCGGUCAUUUACUUGGUACCAUCUUUUAAUUGUUGGGAUUUGGAUGCAUUCAGUCCCUCUCUCCCAAGACUAGUUGUUUAGCAUGAUUAAUUUUUCACCCAACUGGGCUUACUCAAACUUGGAGACUAAGGUAAUUAACAAACUGGUUUUAUCAACUAAAUAUAUCUGUCUGUAUGCCUUGUUACAGAAAAAAAUAAAAAUCUGCACGAUGUUUUGGGUUUUUUAAUCUACUUCCAGCUUUCUGUUUAUCCAUAAUCGUAUAGAACAAGAUAUUGGCAGUGUUGAUAUUUAUGGCUAAAUUUUCACCCGUAAGAAUUUCGGUAGUUCAAUAUUGUGUUUUUUUGUUGGCCAAAAUUUCACUUGCUUAAAGAUCAUGCAUUUGGGCCUAUUGUUGUCAUUAAUAUCUCCAUCUUUUGUAACCACAAAGCAGGUCCUGAUAGCUAGAAGAUUUCUCAAGAGUGAACAAGAAUUAGCAAUCUGCAGAUGAUCAAUUGGUGAUGCAGUAGGACUUAUUCUUGUUGAUAUCAUGAUUUUUUUUAUAUCAUCCUUGUACUACAUAGUGCGAGUACUUGUGGCAAAAGCCAUAAUUUUUUUGUUUCAUGAUUUGUAAAUUUUAACAGCAUCUUACUCGAGUGAUUGCAUUUGCUUUACAUUACAUUUUUGGUUUACUUAAGAGGAUACAUGAGCCAAGUAAUUG
rnacentral:lncRNA from 1 species